CCUACGGGAGGCAGCAGUGAGGAAUAUUGGUCAAUGGGCGGGAGCCUGAACCAGCCAAGUCGCGUGAGGGAAGACGGUCCGAUGGAUUGUACACCUCUUUAGGCGGGGAGCAAUGCCGGGCACGCGUGCCCGGAGGGAGAGUACCCGCAGAAUAAGCAUCGGCUAACUCCGUGCCAGCAGCCGCGGUAAUACGGAGGAUGCGAGCGUUAUCCGGAUGUAUUGGGUUUAAGGGGUGCGCAGGCGGAUUUUUAAGUCAGCGGUAAAAUGUCCGGGCUCAACCCGGGCCGGCCGUUGAAACUGGGGAUCUUUAGUGGGCGAGAAGUAUGCGGAAUGCGUGGUGUAGCGGUGAAAUGCAUCGAUAUCACGCAGAACUCCGAUUGCGAAGGCAGCAUACCGGCGCCCGACUGACGCUGAGGCACGAAAGCGUGGGGAUCGAACAGGAUUAGAUACCCCAGUAGUC
rnacentral:rRNA from 1 species